rnacentral:rRNA from 1 species
CUUAAGCAUAUCAAUAAGCGGAGGAAAAGAAACCAACAGGGAUUGCCCCAGUAACGGCGAGUGAAGCGGCAACAGCUCAAAUUUGAAAUCUGGCCCCUCGGGCCCGAGUUGUAAUUUGUAGAGGAUGCUUUUGGCAAGGCGCCGCCCGAGUUCCCUGGAACGGGACGCCGCAGAGGGUGAGAGCCCCGUCUGGCUGGACGCCGAGCCUAUGUAAAGCUCCUUCGACGAGUCGAGUAGUUUGGGAAUGCUGCUCAAAAUGGGAGGUAUAUGUCUUCUAAAGCUAAAUACCGGCCAGAGACCGAUAGCGCACAAGUAGAGUGAUCGAAAGAUGAAAAGCACUUUGAAAAGAGGGUUAAACAGUACGUGAAAUUGUUGAAAGGGAAGCGCUCAUGACCAGACUUGGGCUUGGCGGAUCAUCCGGCGUUCUCGCCGGUGCACUUCGCCUCGCCCAGGCCAGCAUCAGUUCGCCCCGGGGGACAAAAGCUUCGGGAAUGUGGCUCCUCCGGGAGUGUUAUAGCCCGUUGCAUAAUACCCUGGGACGGACUGAGGUUCGCGCAUCUGCAAGGAUGCUGGCGUAAUGGUCAUCAGCGACCCGUCUUGAAACACGGACCAAGGAGUCGUCUUCGUAUGCGAGUGUUCGGGUGUCAAACCCCUACGCGUAAUGAAAGUGAACGCAGGUGAGAGCUUCGGCGCAUCAUCGACCGAUCCUGAUGUUCUCGGAUGGAUUUGAGUAAGAGCAUACGGGGCCGGACCCGAAAGAAGGUGAACUAUGCCUGUAUAGGGUGAAGCCAGAGGAAACUCUGGUGGAGGCUCGCAGCGGUUCUGACGUGCAAAUCGAUCGUCAAAUAUGGGCAUGGGGGCG